UGGGGAAUUUUGGACAAUGGGGGAAACCCUGAUCCAGCCAUCCCGCGUGUGCGAUGAAGGCCUUCGGGUUGUAAAGCACUUUUGGCAGGAAAGAAACGUCGCGGGUUAAUACCCCGCGAAACUGACGGUACCUGCAGAAUAAGCACCGGCUAACUACGUGCCAGCAGCCGCGGUAAUACGUAGGGUGCAAGCGUUAAUCGGAAUUACUGGGCGUAAAGCGUGCGCAGGCGGUUCGGAAAGAAAGAUGUGAAAUCCCAGAGCUUAACUUUGGAACUGCAUUUUUAACUACCGGGCUAGAGUGUGUCAGAGGGAGGUGGAAUUCCGCGUGUAGCAGUGAAAUGCGUAGAUAUGCGGAGGAACACCGAUGGCGAAGGCAGCCUCCUGGGAUAACACUGACGCUCAUGCACGAAAGCGUGGGGAGCAAACAGGAUUAGUACCCUGGUAGUCCACCCCUAAACGAUGUCAACUAGCUGUUGGGGCCUUCGGGCCUUGGUANCGCAGCUAACGCGUGAAGUUGACCGCCUGGGGAGUACGGUCGCAAGA
rnacentral:rRNA from 1 species